rnacentral:rRNA from 1 species
CAGUCGCCGCGGUAAAACGUAGGUGGCAAGCGUUGUCCGGAAUUAUUGGGCGUAAAGGGCUCGCAGGCGGUUUCUUAAGUCUGAUGUGAAAGCCCCCGGCUCAACCGGGGAGGGUCAUUGGAAACUGGGAAACUUGAGUGCAGAAGAGGAGAGUGGAAUUCCACGUGUAGCGGUGAAAUACGUAGAGAUGUGGAGGAACACCAGUGGCGAAGGCGACUCUCUGGUCUGUAACUGACGCUGAGGAGCGAAAGCGUGGGGAGCGAACAGGAUUAGAUACCCCCGUAGUCCCUGUCUCUUAUAC